CCUACGGGCGGCAGCAGUGGGGAAUAUUGGACAAUGGGGGCAACCCUGAUCCAGCCAUGCCGCGUGUGUGAAGAAGGCCCUCGGGUUGUAAAGCACUUUCAGUGAGGAAGAACGCCUGGUGGUUAAUACCCAUCAGGAAAGACAUCACUCACAGAAGAAGCACCGGCUAACUCCGUGCCAGCAGCCGCGCUAAUACGGAGGGUGCGAGCGUUAAUCGGAAUUACUGGGCGUAAAGCGCGCGUAGGUGGCUUGAUAAGCCGGUUGUGAAAGCCCCGGGCUCAACCUGGGAACGGCAUCCGGAACUGUCAAGCUAGAGUGCAGGAGAGGAAGGUAGAAUUCCCGGUGUAGCGGUGAAAUGCGUAGAGAUCGGGAGGAAUACCAGUGGCGAAGGCGGCCUUCUGGACUGACACUGACACUGAGGUGCGAAAGCGUGGGUAGCAAACAGGAUUAGAUACCCCAGUAGUC
rnacentral:rRNA from 1 species